rnacentral:lncRNA from 1 species
GCCUUGUGAUCACUCAUUUUUUAUUUAACGAUCAAAAUCAUCUCAUACUAAAUUGACCAUACUAAUGAUGUCUAAAUGAAGUAAAAUUUUGAUAGUAUGCUAUAAAUAUCAUCGAGAUCAUCAUCAUAAAUUUUUGGAUCCAUCGGUACUCUCUAUCUAUCAUAUCGACAUGCGAUCGUUCGUGACCAUCGAAAUCAAAUUUUAAUGAUCGACAAAGCUAGAGUUAUCGAAUCAAGGUG